rnacentral:rRNA from 1 species
UGGGGAAUAUUGGACAAUGGGCGCAAGCCUGAUCCAGCAAUGCCGCGUGAGGGACGACGGCCUUCGGGUUGUAAACCUCUUUUAGCAAGGAAGAAGCGAAAGUGACGGUACUUGCAGAAAAAGCGCCGGCUAACUACGUGCCAGCAGCCGCGGUAAUACGUAGGGCGCAAGCGUUAUCCGGAAUUAUUGGGCGUAAAGAGCUCGUAGGCGGUUUGUCGCGUCUGCUGUGAAAACCCGAGGCUCAACCUCGGGCCUGCAGUGGGUACGGGCAGACUAGAGUGCGGUAGGGGAGAUUGGAACUCCUGGUGUAGCGGUGGAAUGCGCAGAUAUCAGGAAGAACACCGAUGGCGAAGGCAGAUCUCUGGGCCGUAACUGACGCUGAGGAGCGAAAGGGUGGGGAGCAAACAGGCUUAGAUACCCUGGUAGUCCACCCCGUAAACGUUGGGAACUAGUUGUGGGGUCCAUUUCCACGGAUUCCGUGACGCAGCUAACGCAUUAAGUUCCCCGCCUGGGGAGUACGGCCGCAAGGCU